GUUGUUGCAGGGCGGCCCAGACAGGACGCCCUGUCUCCUUUCUCUCCUACAACCGCUUUUUAAAAGUCUGUUUCUGUUUUUGUAAGUAUUAGGCAAAUACCUGCGUGAAAUUCCAUAAGGCCAGGGCUCAGGACCUCCCAUUAACUGUCGCGCCCCAAGACCCGGGUAGUGGGCCCGGGCCCCAGGGACAUCUUCCCCACCCCCAGGCUCUGUGGGGGCGCGGGCAAGGUGCAGGGUGGGGGGUCUGUCGAGCCUGCCUCGUCCCCCAGGCUGGUUCCCCGGCGAGUCGGGCCCUGCCGUGGCCCCUGAGGAGGGGGCGGCGAUCGCGCGAUGCGGCUGCGACCACGACUGCGGCGCCCAGGGGAACCCGGUGUGCGGCUCCGACGGGGUGGUCUACGCCAGCGCCUGCCGCCUGCGGGAGGCCGCCUGCCGCCAGGCCGCGCCCCUGGAGCCCGCGCCUCCCAGCUGCUGCGCCCUCGAGCAGCGGCUGCCGGCCUCGGCGUCCUCCACCUACGGGGAUGACCUGGCUUCUGUGGCCCCGGGGCCUUUACAGCAGGACGUGAAGCUGAAUGGAGCCGGCCUUGAGGUGGUGGACUCAGACCCUGAGCCUGAAGGGGAGGCGGAGGACAGUCAGAGCGGCUUCUCUUCCUAACGGCUGCCCUGCUGAGAGCAGGACGACACCAUCUGGCUGCAUCCUGUCCCUAUCAGCCUGUGACUCUGCAUGGUGGGUGGGCAGACCUCAGCCCAGGUGACACCUGCCUCUAAAUGAACCCAAGGAACAGAAUGACAGAGAUCUGCCCGUCCCUAGGAUGAGACUCUUGGGACCCAGGUGUGGGCUCAGCAGUCAUCGGUGUGGUGCAGGGGGGACAGCUGGAGGCCCCUUGGGAGAUCCCCCACCUUCCUAGCUACAGCUGGAGCUCCAAGCACCCCAACCCCCCAGCCUUGGAGCUGGGCAUCAUUUUCCUGGGGCCACGGCAGCUCCCACAGCCUGACAUUCUGUUCCCGGGAGAAGAAACAUUCCCAGAAAGCACUCGUGUGGCCAAAAGCCUCUUUCUGAGCAAACACGAUGUGGACUAAAUUAGCAAAACAUCCAGCCCGUGGGCAACUUCAAAACGGAACAGGCUGCGUUUCUCUGAAACACAAAGCCCCGGCCUCCCUUUGGGGCACCCAGGACCCCAAAUUGCCCUAAGACUGUCCCAGCUCUCGCACCCUCUGCCUUCGCCCCCCGGGGACCUCGGGCUCACAUCACAAGGCCCUGCGGGGAAGCAGAUGGCUCUCAGCAAAUGCACUUUCAGCUUCCGGCUGCCGGGGCUGGGUGACCCCGGUGCUUCCUCACCGUGAGUUCCUGAUGUCCUCAUGCCCAGAGGACCAGCCCACUCCCAGGGCCCCCAGGCCCAGAACCUGCCUGCCUUGGGGGGCCCUACCAGCUGCCUGCCACCAGUACCAGCAGACUUUGAUUCCCCUUUGUGACCCCUGGCACCUGCUUAUGUCUGCAUUUGCCCAUCUUCUCCGGGGUGGUAUUUAUUUCAGCCAACACCGCUCAGCCCUGAUCUCUGCCAGCACAGAGGCCCCUCGCUGCCUGUGAGGUCAAGGUCUGAGGCUGCCCUGGCUGGUGGGCUCCCCACCCCGGCACCCUACAAGCGACAGGCCCUGUGGCUCCUUCCUCAGCCCGAGGCCCGGUGCCCACUUGCUGUAGAGGAUGUUGUAAGAUAAAACCUCAUCUCCAGGGUCACGGCCGGGCCUCGGCCUCCUGUGGGCAGUGGGAACCUGGAAAGCAGCACCCAGAGCGCCAGCCCGUUCCACAGAUGGGGCCAGACUCCGGCCCCUCGGAGACGUAGUGGCCGGGUGGUGGGGGCCCACAGGCCAGGGCUUCUGAGCCCUGUCUUCAUCUACAGCCCAGCCUUUCAGAGUGGUGGGAAGGAGGGUUUAUGGAUGUCAAACACCUGCACCUUGAGAUAAUCCUACAACCACAUGCAGUUGUGGGACCACAGUUUGGUCCUGGGGACCAUUCAUACCCACACACCCAGCUUGUGCCUGUGGUUAACAUCUCAGAAAACUCUAGUAAAUGAUCACUCCAGGAUAUUGACACGAAUACACGUUACUGAUCUU
rnacentral:sRNA from 1 species